GGGGAACAGUCCCUAUUCUGCUCUGUGUCAGUGUGUAUCAGGGAUCCUUAGGACAGGUGUCAAUCCAUAUCUGCCAAGUGACCCUAUGUAGGGGGACCAGUCUCUAUUCUGCUCUGUGUCCGUGUGCAUCAGGGGCUCUGAGGACAGGUGUCAAUCCAUAUGUCAAGGUGUCAAUAUGUCAUAUGUCAGUUGUCAAUCCAUAUUCAUUGUGAUUUAGGAAUGUUAGGUGAUUUCUGCCCUUUAUGGAUUAAAACCAGACUCUGUAUCAACUGUGUAAUUUUCCAUGGGAGUUUUGCCAUGGAUCCCCCUCCGGCAUGCCACAGUCCAGGUGUUAGUCCCCUUGAAACAACUUUUCCAUCCCUAUUGUGGCCAGAAAGAGUCCCUGUGUGUUUUAAAAUUCGCCUCCCCAUUGAAGUCAAUGGCGUUUCGGGCGGUUCGCCGGUUCGCGAACAUUUGCGGAAGUUCGCGUUCGCGAACCGAAAAUUUCGGGUUCGCGACAUCACUACC